rnacentral:rRNA from 1 species
GUAGGGAAUAUUGGGCAAUGGUCGGAAGACUGACCCAGCCAUGCCGCGUGCAGGAAGACGGCCCUCUGGGUUGUAAACUGCUUUUAUCUGGGAAGAAAAAGGCCAUGCGUGGCAAAUUGCCGGUACCAGAUGAAUAAGCACCGGCUAACUCCGUGCCAGCAGCCGCGGUAAUACGGAGGGUGCGAGCGUAGUCCGGAUUUAUUGGGUUUAAAGGGUGCGGAGGCGGCUGAUUAAGUCAGCGGUGAAAGACUUCGGCUUAACCGGAGCAGUGCCGUUGAUACUGGUUGGCUUGAGUGUCGGAGGGGUACAUGGAAUUGAUGGUGUAGCGGUGAAAUGCAUAGAUACCAUCAGGAACACCGAUAGCGAAGGCAUUGUACUGGCCGACAACUGACGCUGAUGCACGAAAGUGUGGGGAUCGAACAGGAUUAGAUACCCCGGUAGUCC